rnacentral:tRNA from 1 species
GGAGGCGUCGCAUAGUGGUCUAGUGCACCGCCUUGGAAAGGCGGCAUGCCGCAAGGCAUCGAGCGUUCGAAUCGCUCCGCCUCCG